UACGUAGGCAGCAAGCGUUUGUUCGGAGUUUACUGGGGCGUAAAAGAGUGCGUAGGCGGUCCUGUAAGUUUUGGUGUGAAAUCUCCCGCUCAACUGGGGAGGGUGCGCCGAAGACUGCAGGGCUUUGAGUAUGGGGAGAGGUAAGCGGAAUUCCUGGUGUAGCGGGUGAAAUGCGCAGAUAUCGGGAGGAACACCAAGGCGAAGGCAG
rnacentral:rRNA from 1 species